UACGUAGGGGGCAAGCGUUGUCCGGAUUUAUUGGGCGUAAAGAGCGUGUAGGCGGCCAUGCAGGUCCGUUGUGAAAACUCGAGGCUCAACCUCGAGACGCCGAUGGAAACCGCAUGGCUAGAGUCCGGAAGAGGAGAGUGGAAUUCCCGGUGUAGUGGUGAAAUGCGUAGAGAUCGGGGAGGAACACCUGUGGCGAAGGCGGCCCC
rnacentral:rRNA from 1 species